AUGCUUGACUAUUGUCGGUUUCAUCAAGUCCCAGGGCGCUCCAACAAGGAGCGGAAGUCAUUUGAUGAGAAGUUUGUUAGGAUAGACACCGAAAAACUUUGUGAGCUGACAUCUGCAGCUGACAGCCUUCAAUUAAAGCCAUUGGUUGAUCUUACUAGUCGAGCACUUGCUCGAAUCAUUGAAGGGAAGACACCUGAGGAAAUCGGCGAUAUUUUUCAUUUACCAGAUGACUUGACGGAGGAAGAAAAUUUGGAGCCACUGAAAAAUAUAAACAAUGAUCCCAGGAUUCGCUUAUUGAAUUGA
rnacentral:rRNA from 1 species